rnacentral:rRNA from 1 species
AACGAACGCUGGCGGCGUGCCUAACACAUGCAAGUCGAACGUGAAAGUCCUUCGGGAUGAGUAAAGUGGCGCACGGGUGAGUAACACGUAGGUGACCUGCCUUUUAGAGGGGAAUAACCAGAAGAAAUUUUGGCUAAUGCCGCAUACGAAGCACGGUUUUAAGACUGUGCUUGAAAGAAUGCCUCUGCAUAUGCAUUCACUAAAAGAUGGGCCUGCGGAACAUUAGCUAGUUGGUGGGGUAAAGGCCUACCAAGGCAACGAUGUUUAUACGGUCUGAGGGGAUGAUCGGACACACUGGAACUGAGACACGGUCCAGACUCCUACGGGAGGCAGCAGUGGGGAAUAUUGCGCAAUGGGGGAAACCCUGACGCAGCAACGCCGCGUGAGUGAGGAAGGACUUCGGUCUGUAAAGCUCUGUUAAUGUAGAAAAAUGGUAGUUGGUCUAAUAGGCCGAUUAUUUGAUGGUACACAUAGAGGAAGCACCGGCUAACUUCGUGCCAGCCGCCGCGGUAA